rnacentral:lncRNA from 1 species
CGCACAAUAAGAUAAUAAUAUUAUAAUAAAACUUAAAUACCAACUAUAAAGUUACAUUUAACUUAAAGAAGCAAAGUUCGUGAAAUCAAACACAGUCACGGAGAACACGACGUUAUAGGUUCACAAAUUCUACUUCAUAGACCUUUUCGUGAUACGACCAAGAUAAUGUUUAAUAUCGGCAGGAAAAAAUCUUCGAUAUCCAUUUCUUUCGUGCGCUAGUAAAUCCACAAAUAAGUUCUGCCGCAUCUCCGUGUCAUGCUAUCCACAAAUAAAGUUCACGGUGAUGCCAUCCUAUCCAGGGUUGAAUGGAUUUAGUAACUGCAUGAGAAAAAAAAAUUAGCUAACGCACCAGUACUGAACUUGGAACUGUUAUUUAGCUCUACGAGCUGCUGUUACAUAGGUCGGUUUGCUCUAGACAAAUAUACUUAAUUGUAAUCUAAAGAAUAACAUAGGUUGGGUUUAGGUGCUCGGUUUUGCAAAACAGGAAGGGAAGAGAAGGGAUUAGCACACCAGGGGGACAUCGACGUGGAUGCUAGUGGUCGGCGAGAACCGGGAUCCAUGAGCGAUGGCUUGGCAUUGAUCCUCGAUGGCGGCAUGGUAGCGGACCUUGGUGGCGGCGUUCCGGCUCCCUGGUAGUAUGGUCACGUCUGAAAAGAUACUACAAUAAUGUGAAGCACAUAAUAGCUUUAUUGCAUGUUUUAGAAUUGGCACAGUGACCCCAGCUCGGUAUUUAGAUAGGACUUAAAACUCAAGUAGUCAUUCAGUCAAAAAAGAAAGUAAGAGGAAAAUAAAUGUAUAUACAUUACUGAUAUUAUUUCACCAAUGCAUGCAUGAAAAUGCAAAAAAAUAAUAAUUGACCAGCAAGUGUUGCUUCUAUUUUAAGAGAAUUGUAAGCCAAAUACUUCACAAAUGAAACUGAACAUACUUCUUAAGCAUCAUGAGCUCUUCCCCCAUAAGCAUGACCUCUCUCUCCAAAUGGAACUGAACAUACUUCUGUUGCUACGUUCAGUAAAGCGUUCUUAAUGGUCAGUUCCUCUGCAACCAAACAUAAACCAAGGGAUUUCAGUAUGUAGUGAGUAGAUGAUGAUAUU